UUAAUUCUGCAGAAGCCAUGCUCAGCCAUUAGGUCAUAGUGUGUUAAUACCCGAAAGAAAGUUCUUGAGCAUAGAAAUGCAUCCAGAUGUCAACACAUUAAUUAUUAUUCUUGCUUCAGAGGUUCCAUGAGAAAAAGGCAGCAAGAAAAAUCAACCUUGGGCUUCGUUAAUUAAGAUUCACAUUCUUGCUGGUAUAUUUCAGGAAGACAGUUGGUAACUUUUGCCCUAUUCUCUGGAGACCCUUAUAAUGUGGUCCUAUCCAUUCAUCAGGGCUCUGUGCAGCUCUGGGGCCCAUACAGAGUGCCUUUAUACCUUCCACCCAUGCCCCAUUGGUCCAUGACAUCUUGCCCCUUGUUGCUGGCAGCAUCUGAUUAGCUGACCAGGUACGGCAGAGGCAUUGGAAGUCUCCUGGAAGCCCCAGUGUUCUGCAUUCUCAGCACUAUGGUGGAUUAUCCUGCACUGGACUUCUUCUGUCUAUGGCCUUUAUUAAACCUCACAGACCACAGCCACUGCCACUGGAGGGACAGGACAGUGACCUGUUACAAAGGAGAAGAUGGUGAUUGGAUUUGAUCCUGCACCCUGCUCUUGCUCUACUGCCCUCCACCUGUGCACCCUCUUGAACGAGUAAAGUUAACCCAGGACAAAAUGCCAUUGCCCACUGAUUCUCCUGCUGACAGGUAAAGAAGCCACAAGCCUUCAAGGGAGAAGUCCCACUUGGGUACCAACUUUGUAACUGAAAUAGGUUUGCCUCUUGAUUGUAGAAGAGGAUCAGGUCUCAUUCCCAUGACCAUUAAAAGACCUUGAAGUUCUGCUAUGGCAGUAUGUGGUGUCUUCCUAUCCUCAUGGCCGAUACAAUCCAAAAGGGCAGUGGCGUCUAACUGGGAGUUCAGAUUCCCUGU